UGUCCAAAUUAUUGAUAAAUCUAAAAAAGAUUUUUAUAGGAAUAUGAUUUCCUUCUUUUUAUUGGUGUGUGUGCUAUUAUUAUUUGUUUCGAAAUGUUUUAAGUGCGAGUUUACCUCCACAUUGUAUGGGAUUCAUGAAUUGGAUAUAUAGUGAUGAAAAUCUUGUGUACUAUGGGAUAGUUACAAAAAAGGAAUCUGAAAAACAACAUGGUAACCCUGACAAUUUGACGAAUGUUUUAGAGGAGAGAAAAAAAUGUGAAAGAUAAAUGUGUCGUCAACGCAUGGCUAUUUUAUAGGAGGGAUGCCAAUAGUCUCGGAUUAUGUAAGAAACAGCAACAUACAUUGCAAUCUUUCAAACAGGGAGUAGCCAACUCACUUCUUCAUCAGGGCAAAGUGAUGCCACAAGGUCCAAGACUUGGAAGACCCCGUUUAGAAAGUCUAGAAAUCAAAAAUGCAGAAAAGAAAAGGUACGGACAUGUAUCUCAGUCAAUCCCACCUACAGAUAUAAGGAUGGACAAUUUCCAACAUUAUCCUUUAUUCAUGGAUGAAAAUAAAAGAACCAAGAUGUAAAAUGCCAAAUUGUAAAGGAGGAACAAUGAUUUAUUGUUCAAAAUGCUCAGUAUCCUUAUGCUUACCUCAGGAAAGAAAUUGCUUCGAUGAUUUUCACAUGAAUAAACACAAAUUAUUGAUAAGACUCACCGUGAGACUUAAGUUUUUUUAUGUGAUUUUAUAUUUACAAUGGAAUAAUUUAUUUUGUUGAUUUGAUGUAUUUUAUUAAUAUAAUAGUAUAUAUAAUUUAAGUACAUCCAUAA
rnacentral:lncRNA from 1 species